rnacentral:rRNA from 1 species
CCUACGGGAGGCAGCAGUGGGGAAUAUUGCACAAUGGGGGAAACCCUGAUGCAGCAACGCCGCGUGAGUGAAGAAGUAUUUCGGUACGUAAAGCUCUGUCAGCAGGGAAGAAAAUGACGGUACCUGACGAAGAAGCCACGGCUAACUACGUGCCAGCAGCCGCGGUAAUACGUAGGGGGCAAGCGUUAUCCGGAUUUACUGGGUGUAAAGGGAGCGUAGGCGGCAGUGCAAGUCUGUAGUGAAAUCCCAGGGCUUAACCUGGGAACUGCUUUGGAAACUGGGCAGCUGGAGUGCAGGAGAGGUAAACGGAAUUCCUAGUGUAGCGGUGAAAUGCGUAGAUAUUAGGAGGAACACCAGUGGCGAAGGCGGUUUACUGGACUGUAACUGACGUUGAGGCUCGAAAGCGUGGGGAGCAAACAGGAUUAGAUACCCUUGUAGUC